CAGAAACUUAGUGACCAGUGGAAAGACAGUGGGUGGGUUAGUAGAAGCCGGCGGAGAGGCGAUUACAUUCAGGCAACCCUUUGCCCAAACAGCAGACACACUUUUUUUUUUCAUUGGUGGUGACACAGAUUUUUCCCUCAGUCUGCCACCAUGAUACACCCGCUGAUCAUUGCCAUCAUGUCCGUCAACACCUCUCUGACCGUCAUCUACUGGGGCUUCCUCCUGGGAGAUGCUUACUACAAAUGGUUGUUGGAGCCAGAAGACAAGCCCAAGAAAAUAGUAACUCCGGCCUAAGGGAGUCGGCAUGGGUCAGCCUGAAUGAGUGACUGGAUGUGAUUGUUUUUGCUUAGGACUAGUCUGCAAAAGUGCUUCGGUUUGUAGUGCUUUCUGCAGCAUCAAUUUUUUGCAUUUUUAAUUUGCUUCCUGGAGAUUAUUACCCGCUGAACUGUCGUACUAAAAGGAAGUGAGGACACUCCCCCUGACAGAGCCAUAACCAAAGAUUUCAUGUGGAAAAUUGUUCAUUCCCAAAUUCAGGAGAAAAACAGUUGGGCUGUCUCCACUCUCUAAUAGAGAUUUUUCCCAAACCAUGACCCGGCAGACGCUGAGCUCCCCUGCAGGAGUCCUACUCCUCAACGUGACUCAGUUCAGCCAGCGCCGGCUCCUCCAGUUCUCCAGACAGAAGGAAGAGGAAGGGGAGGCCUACUUCCUAGACUACAUCCCCCCAGCCAGAGAUGCUAUUACACUGCCACGCAAUGUAGUCUAUGUCCUCGCUGGGGUGGCAUUGAUUAUUGUGGCCACUUACGCCAUAGUGGGUCAUCUCAUUAAAGACUUGAUGCACGAUCUGGCAGAUUGGAUCUUUGGCCCCAAACCAACGGAGGAGGAUGCCGAAGAGGGAGGAGGAAGAGGAGAAGAAGAAGAGGAGGAGGAGCGACACCUCAGUGUCUCCAGUAAACUGAUGGAGACAGGAGACAAGCUGAGCAUGGCCAAAGAAAAAGAAAAGCUACUGCCGGGUUUCCACCAGGGAAAUCCAUCCUUCCCUCCUCCACUGAGGAGUGUCAUUGUUUCGUCGUACUCCAGAGAAAAACGCAUGUCCACUCACAGUGUGACUUUUGCCCCCCCACACGCCCCCUUUGUCACUUCCCUUUAAUCGGUUUUUCAGUCCAGGGUUCACCCCGCUGCGGUAAUGCAUCAGCUAGAGCGUUUAUUUCAAUGUAAAAAGCAAUUAAUUGUAGUUUAUUAGCAUUUUACAGAAAAGUAUUGUUUUCUUUGUAUGUUAGUACUUGAAUGUAAACAUGACUGAUUGUAUUGCUCUGUUUCACUAUACGGCUAAACUAGUGAUUGUCUAAACUUGUAGCUGUGAUGUACAAACACAGAUGUCUACACACCCACACACAUCUAUUGUUGCUGCAACCUGUUUCUUGAAGAUCUCUGUUCUUCUUUCCAGUAAAUAAGUUCAUAACACAAGUUUGAGUUUGUUUAUUUGUCAUCUACACAAGGUCAACAAUGUCAUGUAGUUCUUGUGAUGAGAAGAAGACUCGCGAGGUGCUCGACACAAAGGUGUUGUUGUGUCGUCUCUGAAUAAUCUCCAUCACCUUUGUCUAAUACCUGCUGGUGUCAGGGGGUGACGACCUGGUUUAGGAGGAUUAUGUUCAUCAUCUGUGUUACAUAGAGUAAUGUUGUAAGCACAGGGAUGAUGGACGGAGAGACAGACAGUCCACUUCUCUGACCUUGAACCGACUGUAGCAGCUUAUCUAGUUUCCAUCUGAGCAGUGCUUGAAAUGAAAAACAUCUUCAGGUGAUUUACGUCACACGUUUCUGACGUUUAUCCAAACCUCAAUCUGCAUCUUGCAUUUGUCUCAGCUGCAACACCUCAUUCUUAACAGAUUGAAUUAAUUUUACGAUUUAGUUUUUCCAUUUUUUUCAAAUGGUGUCCUCCUAAAUCCUUCUUAGUGCAGCACUUAGACGUUAAGACUGGCAGUCGCACACUCGUCCAGUCCACCAUGGAUGUACCUGGAGAGAGACUGAACAUUCGCCUCAAAGACGAAGACGGGACGAUCCUCUACGAGUCUUACAUCCCUCCUUCUCGGGACGCUGUCCACUUACCGACGUACGCUCUCUACCUGCUCAUUGCGGUCUUUAUCGUGCUUUCUGUUCUCUAUGCCAUCAUUGGACACCUCAUCAAAGACCUCAUCCAUGACUUUGCAGGUUUGUUGACGUCCUUAGCACUAAUUUCCUUGUUUUAUGUCAACCAGAAAAUGCUAAACAUUAGUAAUUGAGUUUUCCCUGGUCCUUACUGUGUCCUGUGACUCUUCCAGAUUGGCUGUUCGGGGAGCAGCCUGAGGAGGUGGUGGUGAACUACUGCCAAGCUAAAGAUAAAUUCAUGGCUGAUUGGUCUCCAGAAACCUCCCCUGAACUGGAGGCGAUGGCCCGAGCAGAGGAGAACAAGAUAGUUGACAGGGACUUCAUGAAAGCUCCGGCCAUCUGGAUCAUUUCCACAGAACCUCGAGGCACAAGGACUGGACCCAGAGUGGUUUUUGGGAAAAGGACUUAAAGGCAGAGCAGAGGGUAAAAAAAAAAACCAGUGUGCUGCGCUGAAAAUACAACUGAGAUCAUGUUGCAGCAUUUUAACCUGAGACUGAAUUUGCUGUGUUAUAGUGGUGGAGUGGAACUAUGAGGACAUCUAGUGUCUGUUUUGGUUUCCAGCAUGUACGUUUGGAAUAAAGCAGACUUACUGUGAAAUAACUUUACAGUGUACUUUAUUUACCCCUAUUAUAGUACUAUUUACUUUAAACAGCUUAAAUUAACAUAAUUAUUAUCAAUUAUGUCCCACUGUAAUUAUAUUUCAAUCUAUUGUAUAAAUGUUCCCUGUUUUGAUUAUUAUAAUGGAGUUUGACAAAAUGUAAAAAGAUUGUUGUUUUUUUAAGACAAAUUUUCGAUUUAUUUAGUUAGAGUUUUUGGGAGAACUGUUAUUGUGGAAGUAAGCCUCAGCUGAUAUCCCAUAAACCCUUUGUUUACACUGUUUUCCGCUAGCUUACCGUCCCUCACAACACCAAUCUAAUAUUAGCAGUGCGAGAAAAACAACGAGCAAUAUCGGAACUAUCCAGUCGUUACCUUUUUGUAGCCAGAUGUCAGCUCAGACGAGGAAAACAAAGACGUGCGGGGAUCUAUAUGUCUGCAAGUAGAUGUGCUGAAACGAAGCUGAGCAGAGAGACUUUGACCCGUCCAUUUCAGUUGCUGCGUGACAAUAUGAGCUUCUUCAAACCGCGAGUUUUCAUCUACUCCUGAUUCAUCACGAUUUGAAUAAAGAAAUACUCAGAAAAGCAGGUUUGAUCUUAGUUUUCUUUAUAUUUGUCUGCCAUCAAGAGAACAUGUUUAAAACAGCAAAAACACAAUUCUAAUGGGAGUUGAUCUUUAGACAGUGAGAUUGUUCUGAAAUUGGAAUAAAAUAUUUAGUAAUUACCAAUAUUUUCUUUCUGAGAGAUUAUGGCAACUUUACAAAAAUACACAAAGAAAUAACUCAGUGGGGGUGAAAUCAUAUGAGUUCACCUCCUCCCACUCCUUGACUUUGAUGGUCAGUAUAUUCAAUAAAUCAAAUGCGAUGUUUGUAAACUGUAUGCGUAACAGCAAAACCAUCUAAAUAUGAUUAUGAGUACUUACACUCAAGGAAAUGUCAUCAUCUUAUAACGUCUUCAUUCAUUUCUCUUUAUAGUCUGAGAAAUCUAUUAUUUGAGCUUUGAAAUGGGUUUAAUAUAUUUGUAUUUUUUUCUUUCUUCCUUUUGUUCUUUUCUUUUUUGAUUGUGGCAUUAAACUAU
ensembl:lncRNA